rnacentral:rRNA from 1 species
AGGCUGCAACUCGCCUACAUGAAGUCGGAGUUGCUAGUAAUCGCGGAUCAGAAUGCCGCGGUGAAUGCGUUCCCGGGUCUUGUACACACCGCCCGUCACACCAUGGAAGUUGGGGGCGCCCGAAGUUGGUCGAGGAAUAGAUUACCUAGGGCGAAACCAAUGACUGGGGUGAAGUCGUAACAAGGUACC